rnacentral:rRNA from 1 species
UACAGAGGGGGCAAGCGUUGUUCGGAAUUACUGGGCGUAAAGGGCGCGUAGGCGGCCGCCUAAGUCAGACGUGAAAUCCCUCGGCUCAACCCAGGAACUGCGUCCGAUACUGGCAGGCUUGAAUUCGGGAGAGGGAUGUGGAAUUCCAGGUGUAGCGGUGAAAUGCGUAGAUAUCUGGAGGAACACCGGUGGCGAAGGCGGCAUCCUGGACCGAUAUUGACGCUGAGGCGCGAAAGCCAGGGGAGCAAACGGG